rnacentral:tRNA from 1 species
AGGGGUGUAGUACAAUGGUAGUACAACGGUCUCCAAAACCGCUGACGUGGGUUCAAUUCCUAUCACCCCUGCCA